rnacentral:vault_RNA from 1 species
GGGCCGGCUAUAGCCCAGCGGUUACUUCGGUGUUUCACAACUUCGUUCGAACCCAGCGAGUGGUUCGGUCCCGCGGGCACCUCUGG